UACAGAGGGGGCAAGCGUUGUUCGGAAUUACUGGGCGUAAAGGGCGCGUAGGCGGCCUUCUAAGUCGAACGUGAAAUCCCCGGGCUCAACCCGGGAACUGCGUCCGAUACUGGAAGGCUUGAAUCCGGGAGAGGGAUGCGGAAUUCCAGGUGUAGCGGUGAAAUGCGUAGAUAUCUGGAGGAACACCGGUGGCGAAGGCGGCAUCCUGGACCGGCAUUGACGCUGAGGCGCGAAAGCAUGGGUAGCGAACAGG
rnacentral:rRNA from 1 species